rnacentral:rRNA from 1 species
GAUGAACGCUGGCGGCGUGCUUAACACAUGCAAGUCGAACGGAAAGGCCAGUGCUUGCCCUGGUACUCGAGUGGCGAACGGGUGAGUAACACGUGGGUGAUCUGCCCUGUACUUCGGGAUAAGCUUGGGAAACUGGGUCUAAUACCGGAUAGGACAACUUUUUGGAUAUUGUUGUGGAAAGCUUUUGCGGUAUGGGAUGAGCUCGCGGCCUAUCAGCUUGUUGGUGGGGUAAUGGCCUACCAAGGCGUCGACGGGUAGCCGGCCUGAGAGGGUGUACGGCCACAUUGGGACUGAGAUACGCCCCAGACUCCUACGGGAGGCAGCAGUGGGGAAUAUUGCACAAUGGGCGCAAGCCUGAUGCAGCGACGCCGCGUGGGGGAUGAAGGCCUUCGGGUUGUAAACUCCUUUCGCUAGGGACGAAGCGUAAGUGACGGUACCUGGAGAAGAAGCACCGGCUAACUACGUG